rnacentral:rRNA from 1 species
CCGCCGGCGACCGGCGCACGGGUGAGUAACACGUAUGCAACCUGGCCGUGACAGAUGGAUAACCGGGAGAAAUCCCGCCUAAUACAACAGUAAUGCCGGGAGGGGACAUCCCCCUGCCGGUCAAAGGGGGCGACCCCGGUCAUGGAUGGGCAUGCGGCGCAUUAGGUAGUUGGUGGGGCAACGGCCCACCAAGCCGACGAUGCGUAGGGGUUCUGAGAGGAAGGUCCCCCACAUUGGAACUGAGACACGGUCCAAACUCCUACGGGAGGCAGCAG